rnacentral:sRNA from 1 species
GGCAAGUUUGAAAAGUGACGACGGUUGACGUUUGCUGAUUUUUGACUUUGCUUGUAGCUGCUCGCCGAACUCGCCGUCUUCCUGUCAGCGGCCGGCACUGUAGAUAUAAUGUAGCUGAGAUUGUGAUUCAUAUUCGCAAUAAGAUCUUAACAGGAGCUGAUGGUAAAAACCUCACCAAGAAUGAUCUUUAUCCAAAUCCAAAGCCUGAAGUCUUGCACAUGAUCUACAUGAGAGCAUUACAGAUAGUAUAUGGAAUUCGACUGGAACAUUUUUACAUGGAAGAACUCCCAAAUUAGAGUAGAAGAUAUGCAAUGCCAGUGAACUCUGAAGUCAUGUACCCACAUUUAAUGGAAGGCUUCUUACCAUUCAGCAAUUUAGUUACUCAUCUACUGUCAUCAAACAGAACUGCCUCCAACUGUGCCACUUUCUCAGCAUAUUUUCAAUUGAACUUCUAAGAUACUGGACUCAUUUUUGCCUAUCUGCCGGGUGAAUGACUUUGAGACUGCUGAUAUUCUAUGUCCAAAAGCAAAACGGACAAGUCGGUUUUUAAGUGGCAUUAUCAACUUUAUUCACUUCAGAGAAGCAUGCCGUGAGACGUAUAUGGAAUUUCUUUGGCAAUAUAAAUCCUCUGCGGACAAAAUGCAACAGUUAAACGCCGCACACCAGGAGGCAUUAAUGAAACUGGAGAGACUUGA